rnacentral:rRNA from 1 species
GGCAGACGGCUGAGUAACGCGUGGGUGACAUACCCAACGGUGGGGAAUAACUGCCCGAAAGGGUGGCUAAUACCGCAUAUGCCUGCUGGUUCGCUCCGGUAGGUAAAGUCGCAAGGCGCCGAUGGAGUGGCCCGCGUCCGAUUAGCCAGUUGGUGGGGUAACGGCUACCAAAGCGACGAUCGGUAGCUGGUCUCAGAGGAUGAUCAGCCAGACUGGGACUGAGACACGGCCCAGACUCAUACGGGAGGCAGCAGUUAGGAACUUUUGGGCAAUGUGGCGCACAGCCUGACCCAGCAACGCCGCGUGGGUGACGAAGGCCUUCGGGUUGUAAAGCCCUUUUCUCAGGGAAGAUGAUGACGGUACCUGAGGAAGAAGCACCGGUCUAACUACGUGCCAGCAGCCGCGG